CGGCAAAAAAAAAAAACAAAAUCCUUUUGUUUGUUUGCUAGGGUUUCAUAUCCUGUCUCAGCCGCCGUCGUCAUCAAAGGCCCUCCAUGGCUUCCAUCGAUGUCCCGGUCUCCGAUUGUGACGGAGGAGGGUACACCGCGACAGCACCAAGUAUGAUUUUCUCUCUUUUUUAUAUUUUAAGCGAAAAAUAAAUAAAAACAAAAGGGAAAAAGAAAUGAAAAAAAAUCGAAUCUAACAAUGAUGAACACCCGAAAAUAAAACGAAAAAUUCACCUUUAGUAUUCAAAAGCCUCUUUUUUUAUUUUUCCUCCCCCUUGUACCGUAUUCGUAUUGGCUUUUUAUAGCCGGAAUUACAGAAAAAAUCAAAAUAAAAGGCCUCCAAAAUCCAAUCUGUUAUCCCCCUUUUCUCGUAUUUUUGUUGCCUUUUUCUGUUGUUGCUGUUUGUUUGCAGAUUUGGAGGCCAGCCUGGAGCAACGGACGGAGGUGCACACGCGCGUGAAGGCGCAACUCGCGCGGAGGAAACUCUGGCCGCUGCGGCGCUAGGGGUCGUGCGCUGCUACUAGGGUUUCUGAAGGCUUGUUUUGGGUCACAUUGUAUUUGGGCUAGGGUCUAAUAUUUGGGCUGAUGUAAUUUGGGUCUUUUGGACAAAUGUAAAUGGACUUUGGAAUUGUUGGCCUUCUUUUGGUUUAUGCAUGUGGGCCCGGGCAAAUUGGGCCUAUUACAAGCUUUAUUUAAUAUACAAUAGUUUCAUGUUCUGAAAAUCUUCACUGUGCUUAAGGAGAAAUUGGUUUAACAAACCCAUUUGCAUGGGAAGGGCUUUCAAUUCUUCUUCGUGAUUUCUUCAUGAUGUAGAAAAUGCAUGAAUAUAUUGAUCUUCCAAGUGGUACGUUGAUAUGUAAUUAAACCAGACGAGUCCCUGUAAGGAUUUUAGAUUUUUCUUCUUUUUCUUAAUAAAUGUUGAACAAAUUGAAAUAAGUCGAUUCUUUAAAACAAUCACAUGGUUCUAGAUCUAAU
rnacentral:lncRNA from 1 species